rnacentral:lncRNA from 1 species
GCUGUAUCGAUUGUUGAGAUCUGGCGACUUGCUUAAAUUUCAUCAGCCUCACUUCUAUGGACUCUCAGGCCUCACGUGUACCAGCUCUCUGCUCUCCUUUGCCUUGGGACGUUCCAUCCCUGGAAGUUUCCCUGCCCACAUCUUUGUAGAGAGUCCAUUCUCCAAGCUUCAGUGUGUCAUCUGUUAGGACUAUGACCCACCUGGUACAUUACCUCAGGGCAUUCAUUUCAGGCUCCUUCUAAGUGGUCAAGAGAAAACACCAACAUUUUUGUAAUGGCCUGCAAGGCCUUCCAAGAUCUGCCUCCUGCAACUCAGCUUCUCCUGUGCUCUUCUUCUGGACUCACUCUGCCUCAGCAACGCUGGUCCCUGUUGCCCCACCAAUAUGCCAGGCACCCUUGGAAAUGCAAUGCUAUAUCUCAAUGGGAUUUUCCAGUACAGAGAUUCUUUUCAAUAACAUAAUUGUGGAUACACACCACUCCUGUAGUGGUAAACCUCAGGUUCUCCUCCUGCCUUUUGCUAAGUAUAUGUCUUGAUGACAAGCCUUCUGCUAAUGAGCUGUGUUUCUGGACCGAUCAUGGUAGAAGUCAAUUGAAGUGUCCCUCACUUGGGGUUUCUUAAGGCUGCACUGAUGAGGAAACUGAAACAGAAAAUCCAGAGUAAAUUCCACCAGGCCACACAGCAAGGUCUGAUAGAGCCAGGAGAGACUUUAUGAAAUCCAGACUCUCACACUAAUGCUCUAUCAGCUAGACCUCCAUGUGAGUCUCCCCAAUGUAGGUAGGAAGCACUUUCCC